rnacentral:lncRNA from 1 species
CCCCUCAGAAUGAGCCUCUGGAGCGGGAUCCUCGAUCGGGGGGCUCCUUGAAAGGGCUCGGGGGACUUUAGGUUCGAUGUCGGAAGGGACGUCGACGGCAACGGCCACCUGGGUAGGCACGGUCGAGCUUGUCCCUUCUGUCCUGGCCUUCUUCACUGACCCCGAAGUCAAGGCAUCUUUUCUCUUAUGGGUCUUGAGAUCCUGGGCUAACCUCCGAGCCAUGCCUGCAUCCAUGUCUGCAAUAAAAGAAGAUCAACACGGCUCAGAGAUGGAAUAAGAGAAAGGAGAAGCAGCGAAAAAAAAAAAUGGUA